AGAUUGUCGCCAUGUGGGGGUUGGGCUCUUCUCCCGAAGGUUGGACUCAAGUGAUCUUGGAGAUCUUUUCCAAACUUAAUGAUUCUGUGUCUUGACAAAAUGUGCCUACAUGCUGGCCAGAUGGCUGCUACCUCUUCAAAUAGAGACACUGAGUUGGAUCUGUCUUUGAUUCACCAUAAGAUACUAAAAUGAGCUUCUUUCUUCUUUUAGGCUGCCAGUUUUCCAUGAACUUGUAAGAACUUAGCAUCUUUGAGAAUGUUGCACCUCUCUCAAAUUUGGCUCAAGUUGGCUGUUGACUGAAACUGGAGUUGGGAGGCAGACAGGCAGAUGGCAUAUUUGCACGAGGGUUGUUCCUCUGGAAAAACAAGCUAAAAGAAGAAAACAAAUUCACACAGAAGAAACCUGACUGGACUUCUGAAAAACCUCCAACCACAUUCACAUGUAACAAUAUCUGAGGGAAAAAAAAGACAAAAUGGAGUUUUCCUCUUCCUAGAAAUCAGUGACACUGAACAGGAACUGCACAUGACUACAGGUGACAGUAGAAAAUCAACUUAGCCUGAUCUGCAGCCCAGUGUUUUAGAUCAAAGUGGAUAAUCCUGGGCUCUUCUUAAGGAAGAAGUGUUAUCUCUGUGCAGCAUUGAUGGGAGCAAAAUGAAACAAACUUUUCAGUGGUGAUGUCUGUUUGGAAAAGUAGUUGGAGAGGAACCUAAAGCAGAAUGUUAUGAUGUAGAGGGAAAUUUGAGGAAAUCAAACGUCUCUCUCUUAUGAGAAGACUACUAAGACACAAGCGUUUUGCUGUACAAGAAAAAUACCCAGAUCUGUCUUGAUGAUGGCCUGUGGAAAGUUAACAGGUAACAGAGGUAACAAAAAAUGUCAGAGUGAACUUUGAUGCCAACUGUGAGGAAAUUUAUAAAUAACAGAAACGAUUUCUAGUGCACAGCUUAACUAUUGCUAAAACAUGCUUGGGAACAUCAUUGUGCUUUUGUUUAUUUGGAAGUCUUUAAAUUAAGCUUGAAAGUAAUUCUUAAAUAUGAAUUGUAACCCAAAGAUAUCCAUAGCUUAAAGAAACUUGAAGUCUGAAAAAAUAAGAACUCAAGGACUCAAGGAGUAAAGCUUUGUCAAGCAGAAAUGUCCUGUUGAAAGAACAAAGUAAAAAAGGAAUGCCAGCAGCCAAGCAAAGGGAUCCUACUCACCUCAUUUCCUCGAGAAAGGGGAAAUGAAUGGCUGGCUUAUCCUGAUGCCUGAGCACAUCCUCCUGGGCACAGCACAUGGAUACUCCCCUUCUGGCCUCUACUUUCUCCCAUUUCAGCAACCUCCAGUCUCUAGGUCCAGUGAGGGUGGGUACUGCCUGCCUGAAUACAUGGACUUCUGAGGUGGUGGGAUGAUCAUUAGGCUCUUGACUAUCUCACGCUUUGCUCUGACAGACAGAUUGGUGCCUAAAAUUCCCCUAAAAUAAUGACAGAUCCAUAGAAUGCUCUUAACCUCUUUGAAUUAGGCUAUGAUAUAAGUAUGCUGCUAGGCAUUUAGGAGUCCAACCAAAGAUACCUUAAAUUGCUGAUUGGCCUCCAGUGCACUCAAUCUCUGUCAUUGCAGAUGUUUUUCUCAAAGGCUAGUGAAGUUUUGGGUUGGGAGGGGAUUUACAGACUUGGAAGGAAAGAGCAGAGCUGGAAGGGUUGCCUUAUACUUCCCUAGGCUUUUGUUAACUAACACUAUUACUGAAAGAGUCAAGUAACCAUCUGUCUGCAGCUGGGUGCCUAUGCAAGGCCCAACAAAGACAGUCCUCACAGUGCUGUGCUCCCAGAGCACAACAGUUCUCCUAUUGUCCAGUGCAGAGAUGUUUAGGUCCUUCCCCAUGUUUAAACAGAAGAAAUCAUUAUUCCUUUUCAAAAGGAAAUUACAUUAGCGUGUGUUUCUAAAUGAACUUAUCUUAAUAAGCAAGGCAAGAACAUGUCUAUGACACUGGAGAAAAAUAUUCUAGAUGUUUUGUCCUGCAUUUUCACACUGUGUUGCAGCUCACACUAUUAGAAAAUUAAGAAAAUCUGUUUCUCACUUUGGUUUCAAAUUCCUAGAAGUCAUUAUUAUUAUUACAGAACAUCUAGCUGCUGUUUGGUGUCCUCAAUGAAGUAAGGAUGGUAGUCUGAACAGGGAUCCAAAGAACAGGUGUCCAUAUCAGUGGAAGUUACCAAAGUAACUUGUAAAGAGGCCAGAAUCUCUGGAGGAUACACAGUUUAAAUAACCUUUCUGUAAUUAAUGGACUUAAUUUGAUUUUUUAGACCAUUAAACUAUAGAAGGUUUCUCACUUGAUUUUUUUGGUUUUGUCUUUGUUUUUUUUCCUCAGAUAGAAGUGUUGUGCAACUCCCUAAUGCCAAGUUUUUGUUUUUUCUGUAUUUCUAAUCAUAGAAUCAUGAAAUGAUUUGGAUUGGGGUAGAAGGGGCCUUAAAGGCUGUCUAGUUCCAAUGCCCCUGCUGUGAGCUGGAACAUCUUUCAAUAGACCUGGUUGCUCAGAGCCCUAAAUGAUGGCUCUAUAUGCCUGUCUUGAGCUUUUUAAUCAGGGAAUAAAUGUUCUUGUCAAAUGAAAUGAGGGAAAAUACAAAUAAAACUGAGAUGAUUUAUUUUUAAAAAGCUCACUUACCUUUCAACACUGCUAUUUUGAAUUAUCAUGGUUGAACUGUUAGGGUGAAAAAAAUGAAAAUUAUUGCAAUAGAGGAAAUUACAAGGAUACUGUUAAUUGCAGCCUAGGAAGUAAAUGAGGUGAGCCUUUCCCAGUAUAAAAAUAUGCAGUGUCUUAUAAACAUGGUAUAUUAGCAAAAUAAAUAAACUCAAGUUUGAGAAAUUCUUUAAGUCAUAAAUAAACAACAAAAAAUAUUUUGAGCAAGAACAGAUUUGUAAUGAUUUUUCUACCUCUUAUCUGAGCGGAAUUUAAAUUAGAUUCAGUAAUUCAGUAGUUUUAUGUUUUUUAGAGACAUCCCAACAGAAACCAUUCAAUUAGAAAGAUAAGUGACUCUUAAUGGUGUGUUUUAAAAUGUCCCUAAGUAUUUGGGUUACAUUGGUAAUGGCAAGAACUAUCCAUUUUGAGGUACAUAUUCAAAGCAGGGUAUUUAUAUAUUUUGGGAGUUGUAGCAGGAGUGAUAACCUUAGUUUUACUAAUAACUUGAAAAUAUUUUGAGUGUGACUUUUAGCUUUCAAAUAUUUCUCAACUUCACAGUAAAUGAAGAAUGACAUGUAUUUGUGGUUAGUUCUGCCUGAAAUCGCUCUGUCAUGAAACACUUCCCUUUCAUUAACCAGAAUUUACUGCUUGCCACUUGCUUUUCCAAGAAAAUAGAAGCUUUUGUUUUCAUUUUUGCUUACUUCAGUUGACUUCUUAAACAAAAGGAACAUUUUGUAUUCCUGUAUCAAUUAAGGAGCAGAGGAUACAAGGAUUCAAGCUUAGCAGCAUGCAGGAAUAUUAAGACAAGCAAUUCAAGUUUUGUCCAUACACUCCUUGUGCAUCAAUUCAAUUAUUUUCACAAUUUUUACAUCAUUUGCAAAACGUGUAGAUCUGUAGUUUACCUGUGAUCAGUUGCUCUGAAAAGGAAGAAAUAGAUAAUAAGAGGUAGCUAAAUAUGCAGAUCAAGGUUUUAGAAAUCCUGGCUUCUAAUCCUAACUGGCAUUGAUUUAGUCAACGUCUUUAGGUGAAGUUCUUUAACAGGGAGGCCAUUUGCACACAUUUUCAGGGCCCCAAAAUGAAUAAACACCUAAUAAAUAAACACCCACCCCUUAUCUUCUGUUUGUCCCAAAUGUUUUACUCUGAAGUGACUCUUGACCGAAUUAACAUGAAGAUUUCUACAUUAAUGUUUUUAAGGGGAUUUUGGAGAGGUUUUUUGAGUAAAUCAGUGGAAUUCAGUCAUAUUCCAGUCUCAGAAAAGUGUGAGAUUGUGGGACAUGAAUUGCUGCUAAUAGUGAGCGUAAAAACUGAUCUGAAAGCAAAGGUACCUGCAAGGGGCUUAGCAGCGAUCUAGGGUGCAAAGACAGGGGCACAGGCUCAGCUGUACUGCCUUUGCAUCUUGUGUUCUCACUGCCUCUCACGCAAACAACCCCAGUGUGGCGCAGGCAGAUGGUCCCGUUCCCCACUCCCUCCUUUCCUACUAUGGUGGGAAGAACCCACCUGUACUACCACAAGUUCAUGAGGUCCCACACCUACUCAUCUCUUUUUCCAUCCCUCUCUUUGCCUUGUUCAUCGUGUUCAAAUUAUACAGCUGGCUCUGCCUUUCUCCUUCUUGUUUUGUGCCACAGAACCCUUGCCUGCAAUAGUAACUCUCUUUAGUUGAAUAUAAUUUGUUCAUUCUUCCAUAUAUGCAGGUACUGCUACUUCCAACAAUGACUAUUUCAAAGUGUGGUGGAGUCUUGGUGUCAUGUCAUAGGUAGCUCAUUGUCCAGAAUUUCCAGUACUGAGAAAAUUCUUGAAUACAGGAUUAAUUCUCUUCCCAGGCAUUGAAAGUGCCUGAAUCUGUCCUGCUGGCAGUUCUCUGCAAUGCCCUUCCUUGCAAUAAACCCUGAAAAUAUGUUCACAGGAUACAACCACUCUACAGGCUCACCAUGUUAUUUUCCAUGUGCUUGUGGAAAAUGCUAUUUCAUUUUGUGUGCUGAUUAAAAAAAAAAAAAAGGCAUUUUGACUGAUUGUCAUGAACCAUGUAAAGAGAAAAAGACCCCAGUGGUGUUACUGUGAAUAAAACUUGUGUGACCUUGCCUGCAAUGUAUCUAACAUAGAAAAUGACUAAAAUUCAGGUUUUCUUAGUAACUCCAUUAUGUCAACAUUUCCUGGUUGCAACAGUCAUGGGUUUCUUUUUCACUGAAACAUGACGAGUUGGGCAAUGUGACCUCUUGCUGGACAGGCUGGAAAGAUGAGGCUACAAACAACACUAAAUCCAUUGUUACACAUUCCCUCUGUUCUCCACACCUGUAAUGCUUUGUUUCCCCUGUGCUCCACAGGCACCUCUUUUUUCCAAUUUUAUUUUUCUGUGGUUUGAUGAAAAGACAAAUAAUGGGAGCAAAACACAGGGGGGAAAAAAUGAUAGUUGAAAACAUCAGGAAAAAAUAAUUUUCCAAGUGCUUAAGUAGCAAGGCACUCUCGAAGUGCACAAAGAAUAAGAUAGCCUUUUUCUAUUAUUAUUUCAAAGUUAUUUAUUUCUAUAGGAUUCUUGCUGAUUUGGGUAGAUGCAAUGACCAAAGAUGACUGUCUACGGUUGUCAUAGGUUGAGAUUGGCCCCUCUGAGAGCAGGGGGCCCAGAGGGGAUUGGGUGCCAGGGCAGUGUUCCCUUGAGGGCCAAUCACCCCUCGUCUUAUUCGCUUCUGCUGAAAAAUCAUAUAUACACAACCGGCGGAAGUUGUGGGGAAUUCUGCCUGUGUCUGCUGCUGUGUGCGGGUGUGAGAAGGCCAAGGGGUGGCAGAGCCUCCUUCUUCCCCCUCAGGGGGGAGAGGAGGCCCUGCAUCCCCCAGCCCUGCCUAAGCCGGGGUUGGAGGCAGCAUUGGAGUGAGUGUUUGUGAGGGGCGACUCACAGCACCUGAGGUAAGAGGGAGGAGGCCAGGCCCUCUUCCCCCCCCUGCAGCUGGGCUUCAGGGCGCUUGGGGCAGUGUAUAACUGGACCGAGCUGCCUGUGGCCAAGGCUAGGGGGCUUUUCCCCCCACUGCAUUUAGGCUGGUGAGGGGUGGAUUCUAAGGCUUAGUAUUGAAGCUGAGCCAAGAGACAGGCUGGAGGAGGAGGCUCGGUUGCCAGGAGAAACAGUUGUGAUUCAUUGCAACAACUGGAAGAACUCCAGGCAAGAAUUGGAGAUGGGCCAAAGGGCUCGGGAGUUGCCCUACAGAGGUUUGACCGGGGACAGCCGAAAGCUGACUUGGAGAACGUUUGAUAAGCUGACUACAUUACAGCAGCUUACGAACCGAGGUAUGAUGAGUGAGAGAGAGGAUGACACAGCAGAAAUGGCACAAAACCAAGGAGAAAGGACUCAAAGCUGUCUUCUUGGACUCUGUGAAGAAGAAAGGACUGUAGCAAACAGCUGGAGGUUGGCGGGGGAGUGUUUCAGGUUCCCUGAACACUCCCAUGAGAGAAAGACUGGUUACCUAUCAGCUCUGAAGGGCUUUUCCUGGACUAAUUGAGGGAGGAUCUUAAAAGACUUAUAGAAGUGUAAUAUAUAUAUAUAGUUGCUUUUAGCUUGUAGAGUAUUUAUUUGUGUAAAUAAAUGUAUAUUACUUCCCCUUUA